GUUAAGUUUAUUUUCCAAUGUUCAGAUACAAUGUUUUGAUUCUUCGUCUUAUUUAAAAUUUUUUACGAUUAUUUUUUUUACUAGAUAAUAAAACAUAAAUAAUACUUUAUACAUGAAUAAAUUUUUUUAAAGUUUUUUUUACAAAUUUUCAAAUAAGACGAAUGAUCAAAUGUUGAAGCACAGAAAUCGAAAAAUGAAGUUAGG
rnacentral:pre_miRNA from 1 species